rnacentral:piRNA from 1 species
AAGUUCUUAGGUUGUGUGUGGCAG